rnacentral:rRNA from 1 species
UACGUAGGGGGCAAGCGUUGUCCGGAUUUAUUGGGCGUAAAAGGCUUGUAGGUGGCCACGCCAAGUCGGAUGUGGAAUCUCCCGGCUCAACUGGGAGGGGUCAUUCGAUACUGGUGGGCUCGAGGCCGGUAGGGGGAAGCGGAAUUCCCGGUGUAGUGGUGGAAUGCGUAGAUAUCGGGAGGAACACCAGUGGCGAAGGCGGCUUCCUGGACCGGUU